AGAGUUUGAUCCUGGCUCAGGACGAACGCUGGCGGCGUGCUUAACACAUGCAAGUCGAACGGAGCACCCUUGAAUGAGGUUUCGGCCAAAGGAAAGGAAUGCUUAGUGGCGGACUGGUGAGUAACGCGUGAGGAACCUGCCUUUCAGAGGGGGACAACAGCUGGAAACGGCUGCUAAUACCGCAUGACGCAUUCGGAUGGCAUCAUCUGAAUGCCAAAGAUUUAUCGCUGAAAGAUGGCCUCGCGUCUGAUUAGAUAGUUGGCGGGGUAACGGCCCACCAAGUCGACGAUCAGUAGCCGGACUGAGAGGUUGACCGGCCACAUUGGGACUGAGAUACGGCCCAGACUCCUACGGGAGGCAGCAGUGGGGAAUAUUGGGCAAUGGGCGCAAGCCUGACCCAGCAACGCCGCGUGAAGGAAGAAGGCUUUCGGGUUGUAAACUUCUUUUAAGAGGGAAGAGCAGAAGACGGUACCUCUUGAAUAAGCCACGGCUAACUACGUGCCAGCAGCCGCGGUAAUACGUAGGUGGCAAGCGUUGUCCGGAUUUACUGGGUGUAAAGGGCGUGCAGCCGGGUCUGCAAGUCAGAUGUGAAAUCCAUGGGCUCAACCCAUGAACUGCAUUUGAAACUGUAGAUCUUGAGUGUCGGAGGGGCAAUCGGAAUUCCUAGUGUAGCGGUGAAAUGCGUAGAUAUUAGGAGGAACACCAGUGGCGAAGGCGGAUUGCUGGACGAUAACUGACGGUGAGGCGCGAAAGUGUGGGGAGCAAACAGGAUUAGAUACCCUGGUAGUCCACACUGUAAACGAUGAAUACUAGGUGUGCGGGGACUGACCCCCUGCGUGCCGCAGUAAACACAAUAAGUAUUCCACCUGGGGAGUACGAUCGCAAGGUUGAAACUCAAAGGAAUUGACGGGGGCCCGCACAAGCGGUGGAUUAUGUGGUUUAAUUCGAAGCAACGCGAAGAACCUUACCAGGGUUUGACAUCCUGCUAACGAAGUAGAGAUACAUUAGGUGCCCUUCGGGGAAAGCAGAGACAGGUGGUGCAUGGUUGUCGUCAGCUCGUGUCGUGAGAUGUUGGGUUAAGUCCCGCAACGAGCGCAACCCUU
rnacentral:rRNA from 1 species